CAAGGUAAAAGCUAUACAAGAAUGGGUGGUACCCAAAAGGGUGACCGAGCUCAGAUCCUUCUUGGGAUUGGCAAACUACUAUCGGUGAUUUGUUCAAGGCUACUCUCAAAAGAUUUGCCCCCUGAAAAAAUUGCUAAAGAAAGGGAGUAAAUGGUAGUGGACCGAGGAGUGCCAAGUAGCAUUUGAGAAGCUGAAGAAAGCCAUGAUAGCCAAACCAAUCCUAGCCCUCCCAGACAUGACGAAACCAUUUGAAGUGCAAACUGAUACAUCUAACUUUGCAUUGGGAGGAGUCUUAAUGCAGGAAAGUCAUCCCAUUGCUUUUGAAAGCCAAAAACUGAAAGGCUGAGAUUAGAUAUACAGCCCAAGAAAAUGAGCUAUUAGCAGUGGUACAUUGUCUUCAAGCUUGGAGACACUAUUUGUUAGGGUUCAAGUUUGUGGUGAAAACAGAUAACACAGCAGUGAGCUACUUCUUUUCACAGCCCAAGCUGAGCCCUAAACAAGCCAGAUGGCAGGAAUGUUUGGCCGAGUUUGAUUUCCACUUUGAAUACAAGCCAGGGACACUGAACAAAGUUGCGGAUGCAUUAAGUAGGAAGUCGAGGGGGGAGAUUCU
rnacentral:misc_RNA from 1 species